rnacentral:lncRNA from 1 species
GUGCAGGGACAGAAGGGCUGGCAGAGGCUCCUGCUUGGAGCUGUUCAGAUAUGGUCCAGCCCAAGCCACACUCACUGCUCUGCUUCCACAGGUGUAAACCCUGCCUUGGCUCUUGCUCCUCACCAGAACAAGCUUCAGCGAGAUUGUUUCUCUCUCCAUCUAAUCCUAAUCUGGAAUCAGUGCAUGAUCUUUAUUGCUCAGUUACACUGCGGUUUAAAAAAUGCAGUGCUGGGUGGCACAGAAAGCAUUAAUGUGCAAUUCUGUACCAUACAUGUGAAGGCAAGUCCUUUACAGCUUAGAAACAGGCAGGGUCUGUUAUUUCCAUGCCAAGAAACCACAUGGCAAGGGAGGAGGAAGAAGCCAACUGCAAUGCUUGACUCACAAGAUUGCUCUGUGCUAUCAGUCUGGUGCAUCCAUGAAACAAGGUAAAGAACAAUUUGAGAUGUACAUCAGGAAAGAAAUCUCCAGUAGAACUGAGACACAAAUGUCAUUUUAUAAGGCAUUAGAGAGAUUUGAUUUGGAAAAUUGUGAACAAUUCUUAUCACUCAGGUUAAAAAAAUGACUUGCAGGCAAUGUAGACAUCUUUGUUUUCAGAAGGAGGGCAAAAGAGUUGAGCUGCCAAAAUGAAGUGUUGCUAUGGUUAUAACUGAAGCUUCUCUGGACUGCUGUUCAUCUUGG